AAAAAUAUGGCUGGAAGUACCUGGAUGAAGAAGAGUGACAACAGGUGCUUUUUGGAAAAAGCCUAUGUUCAGCAAUGGAUGUAUGGAAACUGAAAUGAUGAUGAUCAUGAAUCAGUAAAUGUUUGGUGCUUGUAAUUGUCAAAAAAGUUAUUGAAUGCAUUUAUGGCAAUUUAGCUAUCAAUUUUAUAGAUAACCAACAUUGUAGACGAAAUCACUAUAAUGUCUCUGUGUUUGUCACGUUUGAAAAUCAAGGUGCGGUUACAAUCCAGUUUCAACCGGCUACAACUAGGUGCAGUAGCAGUUGGUUAAACUUAUAUGUAACCUGCUUGUUAACGCUUAAGACUAAACGGUUAAAGCAGCAUUUAAUACCAAAGAAAUCGCACCACCUCAACUUCACGUAGUCCUGUCUGUUCUACCCCUCAAAGAGAUUGUUAGGCAUAAUGCCAGAAGCUCGUGAAGGAAAUGAAGUGAGCCUAUGAGGUCGAGUGGAGUGAGCUGACGAAGCGAACAUAAGAAUGGUAUUGUCUCUCAAAACAUAACUACUGUCUGUUUCGUCUGAAUUUCAGCAAAGGGUUACGUCGUCUAUGAGUAUCAUGAACAUAGCACAGUUUAACCUACGUAAUGAGUUUUCAUAUCGAAUGGCUAGUUAUCUUCUUUCACAUGACAAAUUUUCUAGUGUGAUUCCGAACUACGCGUCAAUCAAGGGAACAGUUCUUUAUA